rfam:Tupaia belangeri cont1.647326, whole genome shotgun sequence.
GAAAAGGAAGCUUUAUAAUUCCCAAGGGCCCUGUCUGAAAAAGUCAUGCAAACUCAGGUAUUUCUUCCUCUGAUGUCCGCUCAUCACGACUGAAAAAGUGAGAAGUCUUUGAGUUCACUACCAGGACUCUAUCUAGAUCUCCAUGGUAUCAUUCACUGAUGGCUUUCAUACUGGGUGACUUCUCCGAUAUCGUCACAUUCUUCCGAUGCUAUUUGGCCUGCAGUAAUUCUUUGGAGAGAACCAUAUGAGCUACAGAAAG